CCUGGCACCAGGGCCCUGAACUUUGCCAAAGUGAAAGUGAAAAUCCAGUUGCUUUUACAGAAGGGAAAAUCUGGUAUUGUUCCUUUUCUCCAGUGAUCCCAACAGCUUCUGCAUCGCAUGUGCGGGGCUGUGAAAGGGGAGUGAAUACUUCAGCAGCUGGAAAGCCUGCUUGUUCCCGUGGAGUCUCCUGCUGCAGUGCUCGUGCCCAGGGAGAGGGUACUUAAAGGCUUCAUUGAAAACACGUCACUGUGUAGAGAUGUGACUGUAAUGAGAGCCUGGUGAUCCUGCCCAGGGAUUGGGGUGGAGGAUCGAGGAGUGCGUCCAACCCCAGUGGAGCCAAGCACCCAGGACGGCCUGAUGGAUUUUCUCCCCUUCACGCGUUUUUGUUUCCUGCUGCUGACAGUUUCAUCUGCCUUUCUAACUACUGCUAUACCCAGUGGUGACCCUGCUGAGGGGACAAAAGGCUCUUCCUUUAGCAGCACAAAUGUGACAGUCUAUGACUGCAAGCGCUGUGGUAUCAGAGUAUGCGAGUUAUCCAAUUUCAGUUGCUGUGAUGUAAUCGGUGAAACACGAAACAAGAUGUUUUCAAAUGAAGUAAUUCAGCUGGUGGCCGAAGAAACACAUAUCACUGUGUGCUUUCAGCAAGAAGAUACUUCUCCAGAAGGAAUUUACACCAUCUUCUGGGUGAAAGCCGAGGGAAUGGGAUAUUCAUGUGGCAGCCUGGAGGCUAAAGAGAAUAGGAARGACAUCAUCAUUACAGAGUGGAAAAAGACUUGCUGUACAGCAGACAUCCAGCCCGAAGUGCCCAACAGUUCCUUGAAUUGCUACAGUGAUCUGCCAGGCAAAAAGGGUUUCUUGUCAUCUUCGGUCAGCAAAGAAGGCAACUUUGACAUCACCACCGUGUUUGUGGCUCUUGUGGGCUGUGCUGUAGUACUGGUAGUGUAUUGUGUUCUAAAAAAAAUGAAACCAUACAGUCAGACAAAAUGCAUGUUUCCUAUGGGUAACUUGGCUUAGAAGCAACACUUGUAGUGAAAAAGGUAGCAUACACAGUUUUCUUUCUGGAUCUUGUUUCCRUUAAAUUGUUUUUGCAGUUGCUAAAUGAUGUUGACUGUGAAGGGGAGGCUGGGCUAACAGCUGGUCUGAAUUCCACCUCUGCAUCUGGCACCACGGUGCAGUGCCCAGUCAUCUGGCUUCGUCAGGAAAAAGACACACAGAAUAAAUUUCCUCCUUGCUAAAAUAAUACA
rnacentral:lncRNA from 1 species